CCCUUAGAUGUUCUGGGCCGCACGCGCGCUACACUGACGGAGGCAGCGAGCGUGUCCUUCGCCGGCAGGUGCGGGCAAUCUUGCGAGUCUCCGUCGUGCUGGGGAUAGAUGGUUGCAAUUGUCGAUCUUGGACGAGGAAUUCCUAGUAAGCGCGAGUCAUCAGCUCGCGCUGAUUACGUCCCUGCCCUUUGUACACACCGCCCGUCGCUACUACAGAGUGCCCGUGUCCAAGAAACGGUCGGACCUGUGCGGCCUCUCCGGGCGACCGGAGGGCCGUUACGGGGAAGACCCUUUAUUUGACGCGGGUCGAUGAAGUAAAAGUCGUAACA
rnacentral:rRNA from 1 species